UUUAAGGAGAGGAGGAUUCCCGUUUCCAUCGCGCCUUUCCUUAAGGAAAGGAGGAUUCCCAGCUCCAUCGUGGUUUUCCUUAAUGGGAGGAGGAUUCCCAGCUCCAUUUGCCCUUCCUUAAAGAGAGAAGGGUUCCCAUCUCCAUCGUGCCCUUAAGGAGAGGAGGAUUCCCAGUUCCAUCGCGCCUUUCCUUAAAGAAAGGAGGAUUCCCGGCUCCAUCGUGCCUUUCUUUAAGGAAAGGAGGAUUCCCAGCUCCAUUUGCCCUUCCUUAAAGAGAGAAAGGUUCCCAUCUCCAUCGUGCCCUUAAGGAGAGGAGGAUUCCCAGCUCAGCUCCAUCGUGCUUUUCCUUAAGGAAAGGAGGAUUCCCAGUUCCAUUUGCCCUUCCUUAAGGAGAGAAAGGUUCCCAUCUCCAUCGUGCCCUUAAGGAGAGGAGGAUUCCCAGCUCAGCUCCAUCGUGCUUUUCCUUAAGGAAAGGAGGCUUCCCAGUUCCAUCGUGCUUUUUCUUAAGGAGAGGAGGAUUCCCAGCUCCAUUUGCCCUUCCUUAAAGAGAGAAAGGUUCCCAUCUCCAUCGUGCCCUUAAGGAAAGGAGGAUUCCCAGUUCCAUCGCGCCUUUCCUUAAGGAAAGGAGGAUUCCCCGCUCCAUCCCUCCCUUCCCUGGGGGGGAUUACCGCCUCCAUCCCGCCCGUCUCUGGCAAGCAAAGGGUUACCUCUCCAUCGCUCUUUUCCCCAGGAAAAAGACGAUUUACCGGUUCCAUCCCGCCCUUCGGCGGGGAGCAGAGCCUUUAGCGGCUCCAUCCCGCCCUUCACAGGGUAAAGGAGCGUUCCCGGCUCCAUCCCGAGCUCCUGGCAGGCUCGGAUGUGUAGGAACCAUCUGGUUUUGAGAUUUUUCUAACUCACCAGCGACACGUUGGCUUUUCCAAGUGCUUGAUCCCAAGGCCUGAGCGGCUGGAAAAGUCACGGUGCUUUUUUGGAAACACGUGGGUGCCUUUCAGGAGUGGGGUUUGGGAAUAAAAGCAGCAUGGAUGGGUGAUGAUCUUUGUCUGGAGGGGCUGGAGGAAUCUCGGUCCUGCUUUGGAACAGCUGCAAGGCUGAAAUUUAGCUUUGUAAGGGGAGAAAAAGACGUUUGUGCUCUGCUCUUGCACAAUUCUAAUCCCAGAUUGUCCUCAAAUUAUCCCACAGAGGUUUGGAUUGCAGCAGAGCUUGCCCAGCUCUAGGAUAAUCUGGGAUAGAUGAAGCAAGCAGCAGGUUGGAUGGCACAAAAAUAAUUGUAAAUCAUAAAUUGCUCCAUAGAAACCAUUUUUUUUUCAUACAAAAACGUGCAUUCUCUGAUGAUCCAGAAUGGUGCAGGAGGUGCUCUGCUAUUUUUUUGGGCUACUCAGGUCAGAACAUAAAAUUAAUGGAUUUACCCCAAGUCUUUGAUAAAAUGGAUAUUUCUUAGUGCAGCUUCAAACUCAUUUUGGUUUUUAUAAAACGUGGGGUUUUGCUGUGGUCCAGUCUGGAAAUCACUGCUCUGCUCUAGAAGGAAUUUUUUAUGUAAGCUCUGUUCUGAAGUGUCUGAUUUCACAGAAAUUGUUGUUUUCCAGCAAAAAAAAAAAAUGUUUAUCAGAGCAUUUCAGAAACUCUUAUCUCCUCUGGUAAGGAUUUUGAUUAAUUACAGUUAAUUGCCUUGCACCAGAGGCUGUUAGGUGGCUCUGAAAUUUGUUUUAGGCAUAAUUUGCUUUAUUUCUUUUUAGUGUUCCUCUUAAACCUGCAGUUUUUGACAACAGCAGAGCCAGCUUGAAUAUUCCCCAUUCCCAGAUCUUCACCCACAAUAUUCCUUAAAAUCCCACCUUGGGAUUUUCUUUCCCAAAGUGACCAACUCCUUGUUUUUGCUUAGAAUCCCUUUGAGACCAGAAAGUGAAAUGUUGAUUUUUCUGGGGGGAUAAAUUCUGGUUUUUGCCCAAUCUGGAAUGUUUUUUUGGUGGUGAAACCCCAAUAAUUCUGAGGGAAUCUUUGGAUUUGAGUGCUUAGCUUUGGUUGUUUUUAUUGGGAAACCCUAGAAUUUUCCAGGGAGAAAAUUCCAACUUCUCAUCCAGCUUGACUGCCCAAGGAGGUUUUGGGGUUUUUUUUUUCCCUUAAUUUUUCCAUCUGAUGGUACAGCAAGAGAGGCUCCAUCAUUUCUCCACCAGGCUGAAUUUUUCCAGCUUUUCCCUUCUGGAUUAAACAUUCCCUUUGGAAUUCUUUUGCUGGAGCCAAACAAAAGAACAAAAGGAGCAAAAUUCCAGGUGGGAAUUUGGAAACACCCGGAUUUGCUGCAAUUUCUGAUGACACAGUUAGGUUUUUUUUUUGUUUUGUUUUAUUUUGCUUUUUAAAAAACAUAAUGCAGGAACAUCAUUCUCCCUUCCCAUGAGGAAACUGCUAAAAUUCCCUGCCCAUCCAGUGGGAUUUGGAUUUUGCUGGGAGAUCAAAUCAGAGCUCUUUGAAGGUUGCAGAGUGUCCUGAAAAGAUGCCAGGAAUUCCCUGCAGCACCUAAACCCCAUCCAAAUAAAUCCUGUCAGGCCCUAAAAAACAUCCUGCAGCCUCCAUAUCCUCAUUCCUUUUCCAUGGAGAAAUCUUCCCUAAAAUCCAACCCAAACCUCCCCUGGCACAGCUGGAGGGAUGAAAAAUCGGAUCAGGGAAUGCUGAGCUGUUCCAGAGCAUGGAAUUCCCAGCUGGAAUCAGCCCUGGGUGAUUGAGAAAAUAAUAUUGGGGGAAAAAAAUUGGGGAAAAAAAAUUGGAAAUCCAGUCCAGCACCUGGUUUUGCUUAGGAACAACCACCUUGGCUCACUGAGUUAAAAACAACAAAAGAAAUGAUCCCACCCCAAACCAGGAUGUAAUUCCCAAGUUUAGGGCCAGGGAGGAUUAAUUCAGGAAUGUAGAGCUGCAUCCUGAAAACUCCAUUUCCUGAGGAAAAGCUGGAAUUGUUGCAUUUGUGGGUUGUUUUUAUUCCUCAUUGCAGCAUCCUGGGGCAAGACCUCCAGGAAACACAGGGAAACAUCGGCCCAGUUUAUUCCAGAGGUUUGGUUCUGUGGGGAAAAGCUGGGAGAGGGGAAUUCCAGAGUUGGAAAAACCCUGGGAAUUCCAAUCCAGCCGUUCCCACCCCUGCCAAGGCCACCGCUGCUGUCCCCAGUGUCACUUCCAGCUUUUAAAUCCCUCCAGUGCCCUGGGCAACCUCUUUUUAGGGGGGAAAUAUUCCCUCAUAUCCAGUUUUUCCUAAAAUUUCUGUUGCUACCAUUCCACUCAGCAAACAGCUCCCAGGAGUGGGAUCAGCUGGAGAAGGAAAAUCCCUGGAUCUCAGCUGGAAAAGGAAAAAAAAAAACCCCUCUGGAUCAGCCAAGGGGAAACUCUGUUUUUUCUGGGAGAUCUCCCACAGGGAAAGAAGGGAAUUGGGAUAAGAGGAAUUAAACGCCAAAAGAAUUUGGGAAAGAUGAUCCCAAGGAAUCUCUGGAAGAACCAAACUGCUUUUUGGGGUACUCAUGGUAGGAUAAAAAGCUCCUGGAUUUCUCCCAAAUUUUGGUGUAAAUUCGCAGUGGGAUGUGGUGGUGCCAGAGCUGAUCCUGCUGCUGAUUCCCAAUAUUCCAGUUCAUUCCAAGCUUGGGAUCAAGCCAAGAUAAUUGUUAGGGCGUGGGAUUUUGAGGAUUUGACAGCAUCCAAAUGUCUGCAGUGAAUGCUACUCACACUUCAAGGUUAAAAAAUUUAAAAAAAAAUAAAAUAAGUGAAAUUCUGCAUUUCCAAAGCCUGGAGUUUUCCUGCUGGGCUGGGCAAACUCCCUUGGAAGUUGCUGAGUGCUGAGGCAGAGAUCCCAGAAAAAGGGAUGAGCCGAAGGAAAAUCCUGGAUUUUGGAAGUCCAUGGCCUGAGCUGAGCCAGGGGAGGUUUGGACUGGAUUUUGGGGAAUAUUUCCCCAUGGAAAAGGUGAUCAGGCAUUGGAGCUGCCCAGGUGGAGUCCCCAUUCCUGGGGGGAUUUAAAGCCUGUGGAUGUGCCCAUUCCUGUGCCACCCGUGCUGUCUGAUCCCAUUCCUGGAGGUUUUCCCAAUGGAUCUGGUGCCAUUCCCAAGUUUCUCCUUCCCUCAAAGCCAUUCCCAAGUUUUUCUCAAUUUCCCAGAGUGCCAAUCCCAAGUUUCUCCUUCUUUCCUUCUCCUUCUUCCCAAGUUUUUCCUUCUAUUCUUUCUCUUGACUUUUCCCCACGUAUCCAGUGUCAUUCCCAAGUUUUCCCCAGCGCCAUUCCCAAGGUUCCCAUUCCCAGAGUGCCAUUUCCAAGUUGGUCCUUCUCCGAGUUUUUCACCGUGGAUCCAGUGCCAUUCCCAAAUUUCUCAAUUUCCCUGAGUGUCAUUCCCAAAUUUCUCAUUCCCUGACUUUUAUCCACAGAUCCAGAACCAUUCCCAAGUUUCACCCUAUGGAUCCAGUGCCAUUCCCAAGUUUCCCAUUCCCAAGUUUCCCUCAUGGAUCUGGUGCCAUUCCCGAGUUUCACCCCAUGAAUCUGAUGCCAUUCCCAAAUUUCCCCCAUGGAUCCAGCACAAUUCCCAAGUUUCCCAUUCCCAAGUUUCCCCCACGGAUCCGGUGCCAUUCCCACAUUUUUCACUUUCACUUUCCCUUCUGCCGUGGCCACUUUCACUUUCACCUUCUGCUCCUGCCCUGGCAUGUGCCAGGAUUUGGGAUUUUUUUUUUCCUGGGAAUUUUUUUCCUUAGGGUUGGGAUCCAUCUUCCCUAAAUCCAGGAGGGAAUUGAGGGCUGCAGCCACUUGGGCUCAGUUCCCUCUCAUUAAUUAAUUUAUUAAUUAUUUUUAAAUUAUUUUUAUCCCCUGUCUGGAUUUUUAUUUUGAAGCUGCAUUUAGGGAGAAAAUAUUGGAGCGGUCACCUGCAAAAUUCCCAGAUUUUGUGUUGUAUUCCUAAGAGUUUUCAAUACUUUUUUUUUUUUUACCUUUGUCUCUGAAAAUAUCUGAUAUUUUCCAGAAAAAGUUGUUUAAUAAAGAAUUAAAUAAUUAUGCAUAUAAAUGAUAAUAUAAAUUAAUGAUAUAAUUAGUUAAUUUUAACUAGCUAGUUAUAUAUGUGACAUUUAAAGUUAAUGGUACAAUUAUAUUAACUGAUUUUUAUACUUUCGUAAUUUAAUAAUAAUUUAUUAAUUUACAAUUCACGACUUUAUAAAUGAUUUUGCUUCUGGCAAUUGCUGCAGAUUUUUUUUGGGAUGAACCCGGAGCUCAGAUCCCUUUUUCCAAA